rnacentral:ribozyme from 1 species
UUUUUCAUUUUUGUUUUUCGUUUUUUUUUUUUCAAAUUUCGUUCAUACUAAAACGU